GUUGGCUCUCAUCGAAGCUGCAGCUGCUUCCCCAUAGCUACUGUGGUCAAAAAGGAGCCCAGAGAGAGAGCCAUGGAAAUAA
rnacentral:snoRNA from 1 species